CCCCGGAAUGAUAACUGGAUGGUUUGAUCGGUUUCAGACUUUUUCAUAGUCUGGGAGUGUUAUCAGUCCCUUACUGUCUUUUAAUUUUCCGGCAGAAUAGCUUGUCUGUGGAAUCGCUUCUUACACGGUGCUGGUCAAUAAUGAUGCCAGGACCGUUUACUUUUCCUCCACAUCU
rnacentral:snoRNA from 1 species